UAACGUCUUGGUCCUAAACUUAAUGCUGCUUAACAACUACUAUUACACAUGCAAGCAUCCACACACCAGUGCCUAUGCCCAAGUAAACCAUAAACGGAGCCAGUAUCAGGCACGCUAGACUAGCAGCCCAGAACAUCUAGCAAAUGCCACACCCCCAAGGAACUCAGCAGUGAUAAACAUUAGGCAAUAAGCUACCUGCUUGACCUUGAUAUAGUCACACCAGAGCCGGUAAACCCCGUGCCAGCCACCGCGGUUACACGGGGGGCUCAAAGCAACCACUCACGGCGUAAAACGUGACUAGAGACCAAAACUUACACCAAGGACACAAAACUACAAUAAAAUUGUAAAACACUUAUAUACACAACCCAACCAACAACUGUCCAAAAACUAGGCCACACUUGACCACACGAAAGCCAGGACACAAAUUAGGAUUAGAUACCCUACUAUGCUUGGCCGUAAACCCCGAUAGUCUAAUAACCCACUAUCCGCCAGAGAACUACCAGCGAAAAGCCAGAAACUCAAAGGACUUGACGGUGUCCCACACCACCCUAGAGGAGCCUGUCACAUAAUCGAUAUACCACGCUCUACCUCACCAACUCUAGCCUCCGCCCGCCUAUAUACCGCCGUCGCCAGCUUACCCCAUGAGGGCCAGAACAGUAAGCAUAAUAAUCUGCCACUAAAACGUCAGGUCAAGGUGUAGCUAAUGAGUUGGAGCACGAUGGGCUACAUUUUCUUAUAAAGAAAACUACAAACCACAAUAUGAAAACCCUGCCACAAGGAGGAUUUAGCAGUAAAUCUGGCAAGCCUGCCACAUUGAAACUAGCCAUGGGACGCGUACACACCGCCCGUCACCCUCAUCUAAACAACCAAGACAACAAUAACUUAAGCCCCCCAACCAAACAAAGAUGAGACAAGUCGUAACAUGGUAAGCGUACUGGAAAGUGCGCUUGGACAC
rnacentral:ncRNA from 1 species